CAAUAGCGUAUAUUUAAGUUGUUGCAGUUAAAAAGCUCGUAGUUGGAUUUCGGAUGGGACUUGCCGGUCCGUCGUUUCGAUGUGCACUGGCCAGUCCUAUCUUGUUGUCGGGGACUAGCUCCUGGGCUUCACUGUCCGGGACUAGGAGCUGACGAGGUUACUUUGAGUAAAUUAGAGUGUUCAAAGCAAGCCUACGCUCUGAAUACAUUAGCAUGGAAUAACACGAUAGGACUCUGGCUUAUCUUGUUGGUCUGUGAGACCAGAGUAAUGAUUAAGAGGGACAGUCGGGGGCAUUCGUAUUUCAUUGUCAGAGGUGAAAUUCUUGGAUUUACGGAAGACGAACAUCUGCGAAAGCAUUUGCCAAGGAUGUUUUCAUUG
rnacentral:rRNA from 1 species